UACGUGGGGUGCGAGCGUUAAUCGGAAUUACUGGGCGUAAAGCGUGCGCAGGCGGUUUUGUAAGCCAGAUGUGAAAUCCCCGGGCUUAACCUGGGAAUGGCAUUUGGGACUGCAAGGCUGGAGUUUGGCAGAGGAGACUGGAAUUCCUGGUGUAGCAGUGAAAUGCGUAGAUAUCAGGAGGAAUACCGAUGGCGAAGGCAGGUCUCUGGGCUAUAACUGACGCUCAUGCACGAAAGCGUGGGGAGCAAACAGG
rnacentral:rRNA from 1 species